AGUAAUGUGUCUGAUUAAAGUAAUAAAUUGUAAAUUUAUUUAAAAAAAUAAAAUUUUCUUUACUA
rnacentral:tRNA from 1 species